rnacentral:rRNA from 1 species
UACAGAGGUGGCAAGCGUUGUUCGGAAUUACUGGGCGUAAAGGGCGCGUAGGCGGCCUUCUGAGUCAGACGUGAAAUCCCCAGGCUUAACUUGGGAACUGCGUCUGAUACUGGAGGGCUCGAGUGCGGGAGAGGGAUGUGGAAUUCCAGGUGUAGCGGUGAAAUGCGUAGAUAUCUGGAGGAACACCGGUGGCGAAGGCGGCAUCCUGGACCGACACUGACGCUGAGGCGCGAAAGCUAGGGGAGCAAACGGG